ACCAUAGGCUUCAAGGCGCUCUAAUAUCCGCUUGGAAAUACUACAACCACAGCGUUUCAAACUGCUCUAUCCAAAGGAAGGUUCCACUCUGUGACUUGAGUGCACACAACCAAAGAAAUUUCGGAGAAUUCUUCUGUCUAGAUUUAUACGAAGAAAUCCCGUUUCCAACGAAGACCCAAAGGAGGUCCAAAUAUCCACUUGCAGAUCCUUCAGAAAGAGGGUUUCAAAACUGCUCUAUCAAGAGAAAUGUUCAACUCUGUGAGUUGAAUGCAGACAUCACAAAGUCGUUUCUGAGAUUGGUUCUGUCUAGGUUUUAUGAGAAGAUAUUUCCUUUUCUACCAUACGCUUCAAGGCGUUCCAAAUAUCCGCUUGGAAAUACUACAAAAACAGUGUUUCAAAACUGCUCUAUCAAAAGGAAGGAUCCACACUGUGAGUUGAAUUCACACAUCACAAAGAAGUCUCUGAGAAUUCUUCUGUCUGGGUUUAUAGGAAGAAAUCCCGUUUCCAACGAAGGCCUCAAAGAGGUCCAAAUAUCCACUUGCAGAUUCUACAGAAACAAUGUUUCCAAACUGCUCUAUCAAGAGGAAUGUUGCACUCGGUGAGUUGAAUGCACACAUCACAAAGGAGUUUCUGAGAUUGCUUCUGUCUAGCUUUUAUGCAAAGAUAUUUCCUUUUCUACCAUAGAACUCAAAGCGCUCUUAGUAUACACUUCCAAAUUCUACAAAGACAGUGUUACUAAACUGCUCUAUCAAAGGAAAUGUUAAACUCUGUGAGUUGAACACAGACAUCACAAAGCAGUUUCUGAGAACACUUCUGUCUGCCUUUUACGUGAAGACAUUCCCUUUUCCAAAGAAUGCCUCCAAGGGCUCAAAAUAUCCACUUGUAGACUUUACAAAGAGAGUGUUUCAAAACUUCUCUACCAAAAGAAAGUUUAAAGACGGUGAGUUCAACGCACACAUCACAAAGUUGUUUCUGAGAAUGAUUCUAUCUAUGUUUUCCAUGAAGAUGUUUCCUUUUCUAUCAUAGGCUUCAAAGUGGUCUAAAUAUCCACUUGGAAAUCCUACAAGAACAGGGUUUCAAAACUUCUCUAUCAAACGGAAGACUCCACUCUGUGAGAUGAACGCACACAUCACAAUGAGGUUUCUGAAAAUUCUUCUGUCUAGGGUUAUAGGAAGAAAUCCCGUUUCCAACGAGGGCCUCAAAGAGGUCCAAAUAUCCACCUGCAGUUUCUACAAAAAGAGUGUUUCAACACUGCUCUAUAAAGAGGAAAGUUCCACUCUGUGAGUUGAAUGUACACAUCACAAAGUAGUUUCUGAGAUUGCUUCUGUCUAGGUUUUAGGUGAAGUUAUUUCCUUUUCUACUGUGGGCUUCAAUGCGCUCUAAAUAUACACAUGCAAAUAUUACAAAAAGAGUGUUUCAAAACUGCUCUAUCAAAAGAAAAGUUUUACUCUAUGAGUUGAACGCACACAUCACAAAGCAGAUUCUGAGAAUUAUUCUGUCUAGUUUUUAUAGGAAGAUGUUUCUUUUUCUGCCGUAGGCUCAAUGCGCUAUAAAUAUCCCCUUGGAAAUCCUACAAAAACAGUGUUUCCAAACUGCUCUGUGAAAAGGGAGGUUUCACUCUUUGAAUUGAAUGCACACAUCACAAAGGAGUUUCUGAGAAUUCUUCAAUCUAGAGUUACAUGAAGAAAUCCCGUUUCCAAAGAAGGCCUCCAAUAGGUCCAAAUAUCCACUUGCAGCUACUACAAGAAGGGUGUUUCAGAAACGCUCUAUCAAAAGAAACGUUACACUCUGUGAGUUGAACGCACACGUCACUAAGCACUUUCUGAGAACGAUUCUAUCUACUUUUUACAUGAAGAUGUUUCCUUUUCUAGCAGAGACUUCAAAGUGCUCUAAAUAUCCACUUGGGAAUUCUACAAAAACGGUGUCUCAAAACUGCUCUAUCAAAGGGAAUGUUCCAUUCUGUGAGUCGAAUGCACACAUCCGAUGAAGUUACUGAGAAUUCUUCUCUGUAGGUUUAGAUGGAGAAAUCCCGUUUCCAACGAAGGCCUCUAGGAGGUCCAAUUAUCCACUUGCAGAUUCUACAGAAAGAGUGUUUCAAAACUGCUCUAUCAAGAGAAAUGGUCCACCGUGUGUGUGGAAUGCAGCCAUCACACAUUAGUUUCUGAGAUUGCUUCUGUCUUGGUUUUAUGGGGAGAUAUUUCCAUUUCUAGCAUAGGCUUCAAGGCGCUCUAAAUAUCCGCUUGGAAAUACUACAAAAACAGUGUUUCAAAACUGCUGUAUCCAAAGGAAGGUGCCACUCGCUGAGUUGAAUGCACACAUCACAAAGAAGUUUCUGAGAAUUCUUCUGUCUAGAUUUAUACGAAGAAAUCCCGUUUCCAACGAAGGCCUCAAAGAAGUCCAAAUAUCCCAUUGCAAAUUCUACAAAAGGAGUGUUUCCCAACUGCUCUGUCAAGAGGAAUGUUGCACUCUGUGACUUGAAUGCAAACAUCACAUAGCAGUGUUUGAGAAUUCUUCUAUCUAGAGUAACAUGAAGAAAUCCC
rnacentral:lncRNA from 1 species